CCAAACCUGGCCUCAAGUUUAUUGAGGAAACUGGGCUCAGAGUAUUCCUGUCAGUGUGACCACAAUAAACUGGGCUCUAUUAAAGGCCCCACAUUCUCUUGUGAUUUGCAUUACUUUAAGUCAGUAUUACUAUCAGAUGAAGAAAUCAAGUUAUAGGGAGAGAGAAGCUCCUCCCACCCCGUCCCAGGUCUGUGAGUUAUUUUUCUCUUCACGUAGGGCUCUAGGUUGAGAUCUUCAAAUGGGAAUCUUUCUUUGGAGAUUCUGUAUUAAUUUUGUGGUCUUUAGGCUCAGAUGGUCCUUUUAAAGGUGGGUUGGGGAGGAAGUGUGAGGUGGUAGUGGACCUGAGCAGUGCUGUUUCUGCAGAUUAUUAGCACUGCUAGAGUUUGCUGAGGAGAAGAUGAAAGUGAACUACGUCUUCAUCUGCUUCAGGAAGGGCCGGGAAGACAGAGCUCCACUCCUGAAGACGUUCAGCUUCUUGGGCUUUGAGAUUGUGCGUCCAGGUCAUCCCUGUGUCCCCUCUCGGCCAGAUGUGAUGUUUAUGGUUUACCCCCUGGACCAGAACUUGUCUGAUGAGGACUAAUGGUCACAGAGGAUGCUUUGCCUAAGAGCCACAGUGGGGGAAGAGGGGAAGUUAGGCAGCCUUGGGACAGAGGAGAGGGUCUCUGGCUGUCUAGGGAAGGACAUUGAGGGGCUCAGGUUGAGGGUUGCCCAUUGUGUUCUCGGAGUUGACUCGUUGAAAUUGUUUUCCAUAAAGAACAGUAUAAGCAUAUUAUUCACAUGUAAUCACCAAUAGUAAAUGAAGAUGUUUAUGAACUGGCAUUAGAAGCUUUUUAAACUGCGCUGUGAUGUGCUCCAUCUACCCUAGGGGAGGACAUUGCCUGCAGGGGCGGGACUGCCGGGCCCAGGACAGGCCUGGAGGGCUGGUGGGCAGGACUGUCAGGCUCAGGUCUCCUUGGAGUUGGGCUUUCUUCUUUUGGUUUUGAAGACUUAGGUAUUUUCUUUCUUUGCUUCUUGUCAUCUAGGGGCUCCUGAGUAUAGGCUUUAGCUCCUGGGCAGUGUCCUUGGGUUGUCUUCAACACUCCACCUUGAGCUUCUGGCAUUUUGUGUCUGGCCUGGUGUAAGCAGGUCUGACCUUGCUUUCUUUACAGCUUAGUGUUAUUCUGGCAUUUGGUUAAGCUGGCUUAAUCUGUUUAAUGUUACCAGUGCAUUUUAAAUAGGGGCAUUGAAACUCACUCCCCCACACCAGGGCUUUUUGGGGGGUGCCUGGGCCUUAAGAAACUAGCCAAACUACAUCUCAAGUUACCACCAGAGCUCUUGCCUCUGUGGCCUAGGCCCCAGGAUCUCUUUCCUUGCAAGAGCAGAGAGGAAGAAUACCAAACUCAGGGCCUGGGGUUUGUGGGGGAGCCUGUUCUUAGCGCCUGGAUGCCUCUGGCUGGCCAAGCACAGUACUGCCUGCCUCCUUAACAGGUUCAGAACAGUGCCUGCGCUGCAGAGCUGAGAGGUAGGGCUGGACUGCAGAAAUGGCCUGCCUUUUACUGCUUUCACCAAACAGCUUGUUCUAAAGAGAAAAGGGAGAGAGAUCUACAUUGGGUGUGGGGGUGUCAGGGAGACAAGUGUGUUGUGUUACUGUGUCAAUAAACUGAUUUAAAGUUGUG
rnacentral:lncRNA from 1 species